UAGAACCUUAGCUUAACAUAUUGUUCUUCAAAAUCACAAGAGAAAACGUGGGCCUUUUUGGCUGGAAUUCAAGAACACACACUUCUUGUUGGUUGUAUAUACUCAUGAACAAGUUGAGGACCUUGAUACAUUGGUUGGACUGUUUCUUUGCUAAGGCACUGAGGGGAAUGAUCGAGUGGAUGCAUGAAGCGGGCCAUUGGAGAUGGAAUUUUUGAGAGCCUUAAGGAAGAUCACAUUUGCAUUUAGGCACCUAUAUUUUGUAUAAACCUUGGGACUUGUACAUGAUCUUUGUGUUGUAUAUUCACAUGAAAUUUCGAUGACUAAUGUGAUCAUGUCACCAUGGGUUGUAAAUUAAGUAUGGCUAUAUGUUUUGUUCUUUUGGGGUGUGUAAGCCCAAGUAUUGCAAUAUACUAAAUUUACUAUUUGUUUUGAAUAUUUGUGUGAAGCA